rnacentral:tRNA from 1 species
CGGGGCGUGGCGCAGCUUGGCAGCGCGCUUGGCUUGGGACCAAGAGGUCGGGGGUUCAAAUCCCCCCGCUCCGA